UAAAAGGGCCAGAGACUAGAGAUUGACUUCUCAGUGAUUGAUGAGGGCGGCUGGAUAUGCUAUAAAAAGGGAAGACUAGAGAUCAACAUCCUAAACUUUGCUUGAGAGCUUGAGAGCCUCUUCUCCAAUCUCCACAGCAUGAAUCCUUUUUGCUUAGUUUCUUAAUCCCUUUAUCCCUUUCUACUUCUCCUAAAUUCCUACCCUUUCCAAGAGCGUUCUUCCUCUCCCUUCCUUUUUGGUUCUGAAAGGAUCUCCUGCAUACUCCCUUGGAUCAAUAGGUGAAUCCCUAUGAUCUCUGUUGCAGGCACUAUGGUUUUGGGGGUGAUCUCCACCUCCUUUCUGCAACUGCUAUAAUUCUCCGUCAUGGCCUAUUAGUUAUAGCAUCUGCUCACAGCGUCACCAACAGAAGCUUAUUUAAUCUCUGCUAUCAUCAAUUUGACAGAGAAUCGUUUGAAUUGGGAAUGUGAUCCAACUACAAUUGGGAUUUCCGAUUUCUUCCUCUGCGAUGGUCUUCUUUGCAUCUUCUUCCUAGAGGCCUGGCUUUGCCUUUAAAAGAGCAUAACGAAGCAUCUUCAGUAGGCUUUGUGUCUCUGCUAUCGAAACCGUCGGCUUUUGUGCAUUGAACACACUGGAGGAAUGCACGGUAGUCCAACUACUACUCUAAGCCAAGUUGAAACGGAGAAACAACUUGGACGAACAAAGAAGUAUUUGGAAGGGAAACAAGUGGAGAGAACCCAACGAAGGUACCUGAGAUUUUAGUGGUUACUAUGAGUCACCAUUACAGAGGAUGCACUCUUCUUUAGCCAGCCAUAAUGCUUUUUCAUUUUAACGAGGAAGUACCCUAAAGAUUCAAAUAUAAUUAAUGAAGAAUGUGGUAAAGACCCUUUCAGAGUUAUCCAACAACAGAGCUUGGGAAGCUUGGACUUGGAAAAGAUACGAGCAACAAAGAACACUAAACUAGUAGUCUAGUAGUUGUUUCGUUUUUCUUAACAUACAACAUGAAUUGUCGAGGGAUUUGAGUUUUCUAAGAUAGGAUUUCUGAUGUAUAAAAUAUUAUGAUUCAGAUGAUGAAUGUAAUUUUUAUUUUAGAUUCA